ACGCUCGACACCUACGGGAGCAGCAGUGGGGAAUAUUGCACAAUGGGGGAAACCCUGAUGCAGCAACGCCGCGUGAAGGAAGAAGUAUUUCGGUAUGUAAACUUCUAUCAGCAGGGAAGAAAAAGAUGACGGUACCUGACUAAGAAGAACCGGCUAAAUACGUGCCAGCAGCCGCGGUAAUCUGAGCGGGCUGGCAAGGC
rnacentral:rRNA from 1 species